GCGCGAGUCAUUGGGACUCGACUAAACCCAAAGGCGCAAUGAAAGUGAAGGUUCGCCCCGCGCGAACCGAGGGAGGAUGGGUCCGUCNCUCGGACGGCCGCCCCGCACUCCCGGGGCGUCUCGUUCUCAUCGCGAGAAGAGGCGCACCCAGAGCGUACACGCUGGGACCCGAAAGAUGGUGAACUAUGCCUGGUCAGGACGAAGUCAGGGGAAACCCUGAUGGAGGUCCGUAGCGAUUCUGACGUGCAAAUCGAUCGUCGGAACUGGGUAUAGG
rnacentral:rRNA from 1 species